rnacentral:misc_RNA from 1 species
GGUGCCAUCACAAUCACUUGUCUCAUGGUUGCAAACUUAGUUGGAUAUGUUAUUGGACCAUCAGGCAUUAAUUCUUUGGGAUCUAGAUUCCUGAACAAACAAGGAUUACCUGUUCUGGGUGGCAUGUUUGUAACAUUUUAUGUGGGGACAAAGCUCAUGUUUCACAUUCGCGAUGCUGAACGGAAGAGGUAAUAAGUGUUUUGUCAAUGAUAUUAGACAAACUCUAUAGCGUGAAGGUGCAAGAGUUCAAUUUUGAACCUGACUGUCGAAACAUCAACAAUAGUAUUUGAGCAUAUGA